rnacentral:rRNA from 1 species
AACGAACGCUGGCGGCAGGCCUACACAUGCAAGUCGAGCGAAGCCUUCGGGCUUAGCGGCGGACGGGUGAGUAACGCGUGGGAACGUGCCCUUUGCUACGGAAUAGCCCCGGGAAACUGGGAGUAAUACCGUAUGUGCCCUUCGGGGGAAAGAUUUAUCGGCAAAGGAUCGGCCCGCGUUGGAUUAGGUAGUUGGUGGGGUAAUGGCCUACCAAGCCGACGAUCCAUAGCUGGUUUGAGAGGAUGAUCAGCCACACUGGGACUGAGACACGGCCCAGACUCCUACGGGAGGCAGCAGUGGGGAAUCUUAGACAAUGGGGGAAACCCUGAUCUAGCCAUGCCGCGUGAUCGAUGAAGGCCUUAGGGUUGUAAAGAUCUUUCAGUGGGGAAGAUAAUGACUGUACCCACAGAAGAAGCCCCGGCUAACUCCGUGCCAGCCGCCGCGGUAA